rnacentral:rRNA from 1 species
UGGGGAAUCUUGCGCAAUGGCCGAAAGGCUGACGCAGCGACGCCGCGUGGGGGAGGAAGGGCUUCGGCUCGUAAACCCCUGUUGCCCGGGGCGAACAUCCCUUUUCGAGGGGACUGACGGUACCGGGUGAGGAAGCACCGGCUAACUCCGUGCCAGCAGCCGCGGUAAUACGGAGGGUGCGAGCGUUGUCCGGAAUCACUGGGCGUAAAGGGCGCGUAGGUGGCUUUUCAAGCGCGCGGUGAAAGCCCGGGGCUCAACCCCGGGUCGGCCGUGCGGACUGGGAGGCUUGAGCACUGUAGGGGCGGGUGGAAUUCCGGGUGUAGCGGUGGAAUGCGUAGAGAUCCGGAAGAACACCGGUGGCGAAGGCGGCCCGCUGGGCAGGAAGGCUCGCAAGAGCCGGCUGACACUGAGGCGCGACAGCGUGGGGAGCAAACAGGAUUAGAUACCCUGGUAGUCCACGCCGUAAACGAUGGGCACUAGGUGCUUGGGGGAGCGACCCUCCGGGUGCCGGCGCUAACGCAUUAAGUGCCCCGCCUGGGGAGUACGGCCGCAAGGCUGA